rnacentral:rRNA from 1 species
AUUGAACGCUGGCGGAAUGCUUUACACAUGCAAGUCGAACGGCAGCACGGGUGCUUGCACCUGGUGGCGAGUGGCGAACGGGUGAGUAAUAUAUCGGAACGUAUCCAAUAAUGGGGGAUAACUAGCCGAAAGGUUAGCUAAUACCGCAUACGCCCUGAGGAGGAAAGCUGGGGAUCGUAAGACCUAGCGUUGAUGGAGCGGCCGAUAUCUGAUUAGCUAGUUGGCGGGGUAAGAGCCUACCAAGGCGACGAUCAGUAGCUGGUCUGAGAGGACGACCAGCCACACUGGAACUGAGACACGGUCCAGACUCCUACGGGAGGCAGCAGUGGGGAAUUUUGGACAAUGGGGGCAACCCUGAUCCAGCCAUUCCGCGUGAGUGAAGAAGGCCUUCGGGUUGUAAAGCUCUUUCGCAAGGGAAGAAAACUCGAUCUCUAAUAUAGGUUGAGGCUGACGGUACCUUGAUAAGAAGCACCGGCUAACUACGUGCCAGCCGCCGCUGUAA